GAGGGAGAGGGAGAGAGAGAGAGAAAGAGUGUAUGUGAAUGAGAGAGAGAGAGAGACAAUGCAAAUUUGUCGAACUGCGUAAAUAAAGUUAAUGAGCCAUUAUUUAGCAUAGACCGCAAA